UUAGUACUCUCUCCGUCCAGAAAUACUUAUCAUCAAAAUGGAUAAAAAAAGAUAUAUCUAGAACUAUUUUAUCCAUUUUGAUGAAAAGUAUUUUCGGACGGAGAUACAUCUUCUUUUAUUCAUUUUGAUGACAAGUAUUUUCGGACGGAGGGGGUAUAUA
rfam:Triticum aestivum genome assembly, contig: Triticum_aestivum_CS42_TGACv1_scaffold_148354_2BS